GUUCUUCACUCACUCUCUCUCUCUCUCUCUCUCUCAUCUUACCCGGUCUUCGCCAGCAACCAGAGCCCCGAACUCUGUUAAUAUCAAAAUCAAGAUUCUGACAAAAUUUUCAAAGCAGCAUGGAGUGAUGGCCCUUUUGUCAUCACCUUCUAAGUAGUUUAACAUACGGCCAUGAACCAAGCUGCGCCAGUGAAGGUGGCUCUUGGGUUGAUUGGACCGUGCUUGGUUGGCUGUCAAAUAGCAUUUCAAAGAGUUCUUAGCUGCCAUCAGUGGCUCUUCCUCCACUUUCCUUGCCUUUCCUGGUGUUAAUUUGUGAUUGUUUUUGAAGGCGGUAAAGUGUACGGAUUUAACGUUUCAGACUAUUUGAUAAAAGGCAAAGCAAGUGUUUGUAAUCUA